rnacentral:rRNA from 1 species
CCUACGGGAGGCAGCAGUGGGGAAUAUUGGACAAUGGGGGGAACCCUGAUCCAGCGACGCCGCGUGAGUGAAGAAGUACUUCGGUAUGUAAAGCUCUAUCAGCAGGGAAGAAAGAAAUGACGGUACCUGACUAACAAGCCCCGGCUAACUACGUGCCAGCAGCCGCGGUAAUACGUAGGGGGCAAGCGUUAUCCGGAUUUACUGGGUGUAAAGGGAGCGUAGACGGAGAUGAAAGUCUGAGGUGAAAGGCGGGGCCCAACCCCCGGCCUGCCUUGGAAACUGUAUGGCUUGAGUGCAGGAGAGGUAAGUGGAAUUCCUAGUGUAGCGGUGAAAUGCGUAGAUAUUAGGAGGAACACCAGUGGCGAAGGCGGCUUACUGGACUGUAACUGACGUUGAGGCUCGAAAGCGUGGGGAGCAAACAGGAUUAGAUACCCGUGUAGUC